GACGAACGCUGGCGGCGUGCCUAAUACAUGCAAGUUGAGCGAUGAAGAUUGGUGCUUUCACUAAUUUGAAGAGCAGCGAACGGGUGAGUAACGCGUGGGGAAUCUGCCUUUGAGCGGGGGACAACAUCUGGAAACGAAUGCUAAUACCGCAUAAUAACUUUAAACAUAAGUUUUAAGUUUGAAAGAUGCAAUUGCAUCACUCAAAGAUGAUCCCGCGUUGUAUUAGCUAGUUGGUGAGGUAAAGGCUCACCAAGGCGAUGAUACAUAGCCGACCUGAGAGGGUGAUCGGCCACAUUGGGACUGAGACACGGCCCAAACUCCUACGGGAGGCAGCAGUAGGGAAUCUUCGGCAAUGGACGAAAGUCUGACCGAGCAACGCCGCGUGGGUGAAGAAGGUUUUCGGAUCGUAAAACUCUGUUGGUAGGGAAGAACGUUGGUGAGAGUGGAAAGCUCAUCAAGUGACGGUAACUACCCAGAAAGGGACGGCUAACUACGUG
rnacentral:rRNA from 1 species